GAGUGUGAUUGUUGGAGUUCAUCCAGGUCCAGGACAGGUCCAGGAAGUGGCAAAGAAAAAGCCCUAUAAACAAAGCAUCUUUGACACACUGAAGACAGCUGUCUUCAGUGUCAUUAAGAAAAACAUAUGGAAGAUAAAUAUCUUUAAUAGAAAGCAUGACAUCAUGCUACUGGAACUUUCUGAGCCACUGACUGGGAUUCAGCCUGUAGCCUUACCUGACUGUAACAACCCUCCUAAAAAAGGAGACGUCGUUCAGGUUGCAGGACUUGGUGGGUAUAGGGUAAAUGCGACAGGCCACACACUUGAUGAUGAGCCAUUUAAUCUCCAGUGUGCAAACAUGCAUGUUGUUGACUGUGAGCCUACCAGAAACUCUCCAUGUUUUUCAGAUGUGCCGUAUAACAACAGGCUGUGUCUGGAAGAACCUAAUGUA